rnacentral:rRNA from 1 species
GAUGAACGCUGGCGGCGUGCCUAAUACAUGCAAGUCGAGCGAACGGACGAGAAGCUUGCUUCUCUGAUGUUAGCGGCGGACGGGUGAGUAACACGUGGAUAACCUACCUAUAAGACUGGGAUAACUUCGGGAAACCGUAGCUAAUACCGGAUAAUAUUUUGAACCGCAUGGUUCAAAAGUGAAAGACGGUCUUGCUGUCACUUAUAGAUGGAUCCGCGCUGCAUUAGCUAGUUGGUAAGGUAACGGCUUACCAAGGCAACGAGGCAUAGCCGACCUGAGGGGGUGAUCGGCCACACUGGAACUGAGACACGGUCCCGACUCCUACGGGAGGCAGCAGUAGGGAAUCUUCCGCAAUGGGCGAAAGCCUGACGGAGCAACGCCGCGUGAGUGAUGAAGGUCUUCGGAUCGUAAAACUCUGUUAUUAGGGAAGAACAUAUGUGUAAGUAACUGUGCACAUCUUGACGGUACCUAAUCAGAAAGCCACGGCUAACUACGUG